rnacentral:misc_RNA from 1 species
GAAAUGCGAUAAGUAAUGUGAAUUGCAGAAUUCAGUGAAUCAUCGAAUCUUUGAACGCACAUUGCGCCCGUUAGCAUUCUAGCGGGCAUGCCUGUCCGAGCGUCAUUUCAACCCUCAGGGCCCCCCGUUCCGGCGGGCGGACCUGGCGUUGGGGAUCGGCCCGCCCCGUGCGGCGCCGUCCCCCAAAUACAGUGGCGGUCCCGCCGCAGCCUCCCCUGCGUAGUAGUUUACAACCUCGCAUCGGGGCGCGGCGCGGCCACGCCGUAAAACCCCCGACUUUCUGAACGUUGACCUCGGAUCAGGUAGGAAUACCCGCUGAACUUAAGC